rnacentral:misc_RNA from 1 species
UGUUAUUUUAUUUUUAAAUCCCAUUCUAAGAACUUAAUUUCUCACCAGUUUUACCCUCUUGCUGCACUUGAACAUCUAGAGAAUAUUUUAUGGUCAAAUAUGUUGUUAAAUUGAAUGGUUGGCACUUUCAAAUUACAAUUCUAGUGGAGGAUAUUUUUUGAAGUUUUCAAAUUUUAGUGGAGGGUAUUUCAAUUUUUUCCCACCAAUUAAUUAAUUAUGAAUGACCCAUAUCAGUUUAAUUGAUGUUACAACUCCG